GUCAAAAUAUAUGCUAUUAAAUUUGUAUUACACGAGAUCAUUCCAUAUACUCGAAAAGUCAAAAUAUAUAUUAUUAAUUUCAUAUUACACAAGAUUUAUGGAGCAUAAAUGUGUAUUACACGAUAUAUAUAUAUAUAUAAGAGUGCUCAGCAAUGUCAAAAUAUAUGGUAUUAAAUUUGUAGGAUACGAGAUCUAUGCUCCAUUUUUUUUUGAAUGAAUAUUAAACUUAUUCAAAUAAAAGCCUGUUUACAUCAAGUGCAUACAGUUUGGGGAAUACCCACAUCUUUACCACGAGAUAUAUGCUCCAUUGAAUUAAGUUAUUAGAUUUUGUAGACCUAUAUAAGACUCUUUUCUCCCAUUAAUAUAAUUCAUUCCAUACACUCGAAAACUUAGAAAAUUUUCUCAUUCUACUAUAAUGGCUACGAUAACUGAUGUGUGUGACUUGAAACCAUUCAAGUCAAUAUGGGAGAUUAGGGUGACGAUCGUACGUUAGUGGAAACAGUAUUCUGCUGGUGGUGGUCUGACGAUCGAGAUGGUUCUAAUCGACUCCUAUCUAAGGCAUCUUUACUCUUUCUGUUCCGUUAUUUUUAAAUGUUCGCAUGCUUAUUUUUGAUGUGGAUUGUUAUAAAUUUAUGUAGGGUGUUAAGAUUACCAUGUCUGUAAAAAAGAAUCUGGUGAAUCAGUUUGAUGCAUUCCUGUCACAAGGCAGUUCCAAGAUUCUCAUCAACUUUUCACUCAACCCCUCCUGCGGUUCAUACCGAACAACGAUACAUCCAUACAAAAUAGGAUUCCUCUCGACAACACGUGUGAGGAGUUGUGAUGCUUUGCCCGAUGAGCUAACUGGUUUUCAACCAGUCAACUACAGUGACAUUCUUGAUGGUUCACUCAAUACGGACUAUUUGGUUGGUAAGUUAUAAAAAAUGUAUUUCAUUGUAUAUUUUUUGAAAUGCUUCUAUAUUAUUUAACGCAUAUAUUAUGUUAAUCAGAUCUAAUAUGUCAGAUUGUUGAGGUGACACCAUUUGAAUUUGUAUCAGCUAAUGGGAAAGACACAAAGAAAAUCUCAGUGGAACUUCGUAAUGAAAAGUAAUAACAUCUUUAUAUUUUUUGUCGACUUUACAGAUCAAUUUGGUAUGUUAUCUAAGUUUUACUUUCCCUAUGUGAUUUUAGGGAUGGAUGUUUCCCGAUGGUGCUAUGGGGUAACUUUGCUAUUGAUGUCAAUGAGGCUAUUGAAAAAGAGGCGGUGAUAACGCAAUAGUUUGUGAGUUGCGGUUUGGGAAAAUUAAAGUUUGGAAAGGUGAGCGUAGUGUGUCCAAUUCCUAUAACGUUUCAGAUGUCGAACUGAUCCAUUUAUGCCUGAGGUGGAGGCAUUUUUGUCACUGUAGGUUUUCGUUUUGUAUAUUUAUGCUAAAGAAUACGAUAUACACAUGUCUAUCUCAUUAUAAAGAUGUUCUUGUGUGUUGUUAUUCUGUAAAGGUUGCCGAAGGAUGAGUUACUCAGUCAUGCUCUUAGGAGAUGCGAAAAAUAAGUUGUUAUUCUGUAAAGGUUACUAAGAUCCCUUUCCCUGCAAUCUGUGUUAAAAUAAUCAGGAAAUGGAGCACGGAAAUAGGAAGAGAUCAUCACUCAGUCAUGCUCUUAGGAGAUGCGAAAGUAAGUUUUCUUAUACUUAAAUGAACCUCUUAUAAAUCACAUUUAUAACAAAUUGAGAAGCCAAUUAUUUUUCUUUUUUAACAGGGAGUAACAAUAGAAGGAAGCUUAAACUAUGCUUUUUCUCUACCUAAAGAGAUUGAGUUGAAAGAAGAUGACUGGGUUGAGAUACUCAAUUUCAACAUAAGAAAUGUUUGUGAGUUGUAUUGAACCACAAAGCACAAAUACAGAAUCAAUUUCAAUGAAUCGACUUUGUUUAGGAAGAUACAACCAGUGAACGAUUCUAACUUUCUAUGAUGUGCAAACUUUCGUGGUAUAAAGUGUGGUCUUUAUCAUCCUAUGUACUGCGUUGGUCAAUGUGGAGCAUUGGUGCGUGUAGGAGAUCUUAUAGCUAAUAAGCUAGCUGAACCAGCCAACAUUUAUAAUCCUAUUCUAUAUUCGUUGGAGUUCUCCUAAAUAAAUCUCGGGUUUGAAUUUUUCAUUUGUUACAUCUCUUAAUUUUUAAUACGGCCAUGUGUGUAGAAUAAUAUUGACUGAUAAAUGUGAUUUAUAAAAAAUAUCGUGUACACUCAUAUAAAGUGUGUUGCUUAUGGAGCUCUAUCCCAUAGUUUAAAUGCAUUUUGGCGUUCUAAUACUGCAGAUGUUGUAUUAUGUGUUUUAAGGUUAUGGUGAAUUGAGUGGAGAGCAGGUAAUCUAUAUUUAUUUGCAAUCUUUGCUAUUCAACAUUUUUGGUUUGUGUACUUAUUGCAGAUAUUACUUUAUAGGUGGUUUCAGUUAUGUUACAAACAUGGAAGGUGGUUCUGAAAUUCUGUUUGAUACUGACAUCCCAGAGAUUCAGUUCUUCGAAUCACAGAUUCCAAUCAUCGAUUUCUGAAGUCUCGGAGUUAUUCUAUCUUAUUUUGAGUUUGAAUUUGGUUUUUACAAUACCUAUUUAUAUUUAGACCAUUCUUUGUAUUUGAAAGAAUGAGACAUGCAUCGUUAUUAUAAUGGAAUUGAGGUUUUUUAUUUUAAAAAUAGUUCUCCAUCUUACUGACUUCUCUAUAGUUCCUAUAUAAUAACUACACACAAUCAAUAUUUCCGAUCGCAUUAAAGAAUUUUAUUAUUCAAUACUACUGAAUCGUAAGCAAAAAGAAAUAGGAAUC